GCGGGUUCGGCGGGGCGAGAGCGGCACCCAGCGGCACCCGGCGGCACCGGGACAGGGACAGCGCCGCGGGCCGAGUGACGCCGGGGGACAGCGGCACCGACUUAGCAGCGCCUGUGGCGAUAACAGAGGGUGAUGGGUGCAAACCGCCAAAGGGACGGCUUGGAUCGGAUGUGAGGAAGAAGAAUGGUCAGCAGUGAUGCAGGCCUGUGCCCACCAACAGGGAUUUGUGCAGUGCAGGAAUUGAACCAGAUUUUGCUGAGGAACCAGUGAGAUGAUUUUGCAUCAUAAAUGCUUGUGGAGUCAUCAUUCCCCCAUCAGCUCAACAUCAAUAGCUUCACAAGAUAAUUUGUCUAUUCAGCUCACUUACUGUCUUGGAUGCAUCACUGGAGGAGACCUGAGCAAGCUGUCACAGAGCAGACCUGGCCCUGAAGUGCUGUGCCAGAAAGUUAGCCGCAAAAUGGUGUUCAGCACUGCAAAUUCUCACAAGGAGAUUGGGAAUGGAUACAGUGAAGUGUUUAUUCCAAAGGUUUAUUCCAGAGGUUUAUUCCAAAGGACAUGGGCCCUCAGGGAAGAAAGCCAAGCAUGUUGUGUGGUGCUGGUGAGACAGCCUUAGUCCUGGUAGUGACUUCAGUGCAGUGAGAUUUCCAUGUUGUGGCUACACAUGGAAAUUUCCUCAUGGCCAAGUGUUGGUUAAAGCAAUGCCCUGCUUGCCUGUUGCCUGCCUCUCCUAAACACACUGGGCAGUGGGAGAGACAGGACAUCAAGCCAGGCUGAAAAUUAAUGUUUUAGCAACUUUGGUGAAAAUGUCACUCCUCCUGCAGCUAUACCUGUUUACACAACACACUCCAUUCCCCCCAGCCGGCUGUUUUCCAAAGGCUGGGCUGUCACAAACUGCUAAUAGCAGCACUUGUCAUCUCAGUGCUGCUCCAAGUGGGUCACAUGUGGGCUGUUCUCUACCUCUGGGCACACACCUGUUCUCCUCAGUGCAGUCUCACUACAGCCAGCAUAGCCUUGCUCCUCCACACACUCCCACUGUUACAUUAUCUUUAACCACAAAACGCUUCUCUUCCCACACUGGGAAAUUCUGCGGGGACCAUGGCAAAACCAGCUGACCCCUGGGGAUUUUGUAGCUCCUUUCUGGGUCAGGAUGGUCCUGCAGUGGCAGGUGGUGCCUGCUGUUGCAUCUUUCCCAGUUGAUGUCAGGCACAUUUCUCAGAUGUGUUUUCCAGUGGCCCAGGUUCCAGCCCUCCUCAGGGGUGUGGUGGGUGUCUGUGAUGUCCACUGAUGUCAGCUGGGGGUUGCUGACACCACUGAGCAAACACAUUUCAAGGGAUGGUUCAAAUAAUAGAUAAAUUAUGGGAAAGUUUCUGCUUGGCAAGGAUCUUUACACUUGAAAUCCUUGUACUAACCCUGUCUGAAAAUAGUGGUGUGGAUGGGGAAAUAUAAAUUACACAGUCAAAAGCAGAGCUGAGUAAAUGCUGCAACAGGGAUCUUUCAAGUUCAUUAGCUCUUUACAAAGCCAUGCUUAUACUGAUUUGGAUAGACAAGUAUCUCCAGAGAAGGGGUGCAAAUCUGCCAUCAUGGUCCAGACGCUGAAGAGCCUGGUUGUCCCUUGCCACAGCACAGGUGGCUUGGUGCUGAGCCGCACUUGGGAGCACAACAUCUCACUGCAUGUCAUGGCUGAGGACACUUUAUUGCUUUCUGUCAACACCCCAGCACUGAGCUAGGAAGUAAUGUGUGCUUCUAGUGAUGUGAUCUCUCAGACAGCAUUUUAAAUCACGCUUCUGUCUGUGGGGAGGCAUGAGAGAUCCCGUGACACCAUUUUUAUUUCAGGAAGAAUAAAGGCAUUCAUCUCUGCAACAUUGGAUAGAUUCAUUGCCUUAUCCCAAUAGGGCAUCUUCACAUAAACAGUAAACAGCUGAAUUGAACUGCAGUCUGGAAUAGCAGUCAGGGGUAGGAAACUCAGGCACUAAUUUUACUUCUUCACUGAGACUAUCUGUGUUUUAUUGCUCUGAAGGAGGGUAGCCAGCAGUUUGUGCUGUGGCUUCCAAAUAAUGGCACUAUUUUUCCUCUGAGUCAUUUUUGUUUGAAUGCUGAUAACUGGUGUUUAUAUUUUCAAGCCCAGUUGUGGCCAGGACUCUGAGAAUAAAAUAAAAAGCAAGUUCCAACCUUCAUUUUCAAGGAAUCUGGCUGACCUGUGGAGGUCAAACUGCAGUUCAAAUCUUCAAAAUGCAGUUUUAGUUCUAGGACAAUUGCUCUAAGACUGCCAAAAGAGGAAUGGUGAUAACAAUUUUAAUACCAAUGGGGACAGCUGAUUUGAAUUAAGCCUUCUCUCUCAAGUGAGAGACAGCAGCCCUUAUAAGGACCACAAGUCUGCCGUGGUGGAGCUUUUCAUGACCAUUCAUAGUCACAGCCUUCCUGAAGGCCAUGUAAGCUUUGAAAACAUUAUCCCAAUUUUACAGAUGUGGGACUGUGGCCCAAGACUUGGCCUGGCCCCCUCCCCUGAGAAUGCUCAGCAAUCUUGCAGUUGAGCUGUAACUUGUGAGAAUCACUCCCAUGUCUUUCUUACUUUCCUUGCCCUAUGCCAGCAUCCUCCAGGCUGGAUCUCACCUUCUGCCCCUUGGGCUGAUGGCAGCCCUGAGAUGGAUGUUCAUGCACUGCCCAGCUGCUUUGAGGGAGGGCAGAAGAACCAGCAAGCAACUCUGGUCCUUGGACUGAUUUCCUUCUCCAAGCAGUGAAAAAUAAAGAUCAAGAGGAAAAAAAAAAAAAAAUCAGUGUGCAGGGUAGAAAGCAAAGCUGAUGAAGGAUAUAGAUUUGUAUGCUCAAUACAUCCUAUGGUGUACUUAAAUAACAUAGCAAGGAUUUUAAAAAUCCAAUUUAUUUUAAAAGUAAGCACCACUUGUGAAUAUACAGGUGUGUGAGUUAAUAAUUUGGUGUUAUAUUUUUAGUUCUUUGUAUGCAUUUUGAAAGAUGCUUCAGCCUCAGUGGGUCUAACAACCCAAGGGGAAAUGACCUUGUAUCUUGUCUUUGUAUCUUUUCUCCUUUUUAGGUUUUGUAUCAAUCUGAUUUUUUUCAGGUCAGUUUAUAUUACUGUUGGAUCUGAGUGGGUCCAUCACCACAUUGUAAAGAUGCAAAGCAGCAAAGACACAAAUGCA